rnacentral:guide_RNA from 1 species
AAAAACAACGUGACAUCUAAGUGAGGUUAUAUGAGUAAAUUAG